rnacentral:pre_miRNA from 1 species
UAAAGAAUCACUUGGAGAUCUUGUUAAACCACAGUCUCCUUGGGCUCACUCCCAAAGAUUCUGGUUUAAGAGGCUUGAUGUGGGACCAAGAAUUUGUAGUUCUAACAAACUCUCAGGUGAUGCAGAA